UGCUCUUCGAAGUAGCGAAGUUGAGUUUCCUUGUUGCAAAAAUGCAGACGGUCAUAAUCGAGACCCAGUUCUCCGACGGCCAUGACGUGUUUUUGGUUCUGGGUGGCAAAAUCCAAAAGCGAACGCAGAUAUUCAUCUGGGGAGCGCUGAUCGGUUUCGAAUUUAUGGCACAUGGUUGGGUGAACGCCGCAUGUAGUGCUUAACAUCCCAGAGUACUUUUCGAUUUUUUCAUAUGUUUGAAUGAUGCGGAUGGCCUUGUGACACGAGGACAGAUCGCCGGAAGUAAUGAUGACUUUUUUGACCGAGGCGGAUAAAGCACGAUCGAGGACGUCGGUUAGAUCUUCUGUGUGCACUUUUUCGCCGUGAUAGAUGCCCUGGAAGACAUCGUCGGUCAAGUUGGCGCCAAUGUCUGAAGCAGUGGAAAGGGAAGGACAUGGGCAAUCCAAAACACGAAGUUAGGGAUGGUACGGCAAGAGUUCUGCUGGAUGUGAGAGGGGUCGCAUUUGCCGGUGGCAAGCGCUCAAGACAGAGAACCACACGACCUAUGAGCUUUGUAAUACGAGUCACCAUAUACGUUGGAAGCGUGUUCGGUAAAAAAUAUACGUGUGUAGGAAAAUAGGCUAAAAGUGGGUUGGAUUAACCAUUUUGAUUCUACGCGCGAUGGAUCCUCAUAUAUCCAGAAAAUUCAUAAAUGGUGAGUGGGAGGACAGCAUCCUUCCCGCUCUGAAGGAAUAUGUGUCUAUUCACAAUGUGAGCCCAGCCUACGACAAAAACUGGGAAACCAACGGCUACAUAGAUCACGUCGUGGAGCUGUUUACGGGGUGGAUCCUGUCGCAAAACUUGCGCGGAAUGUACAUGGAGGUGUACCGCGAGGAGGGUCGAACGCCCUUGAUCUUGGUGGAGAUUGAGCCCAGUUCUGAGAAGUGCGCUGAUCGAACUGUUUUAUUGUACGGUCACAUGGACAAGCAGCCCCCGUUGUUGCCGUGGGACGACGGAUUGCACCCCUACAGGCCCGUGAUCCGAGACGGACUCCUGUACGGACGAGGGUGCGCGGACGACGGUUACGCACUUUUUUCUAGCGUGGCCGCAAUUCGAAACUUGCAAGUUCAAAACUUGGACCACGCCCGCUGUUUGAUUAUGAUCGAGUCCGGCGAAGAAAGCGGGUCUCCAGACUUGCCCUACUACAUGGAAAAGUUGUCUUCGAAGAUCGGGAAGCCAGACUUCAUUAUUUGCCUAGACUCUGGAUGCGGGAACUACGAGCAGUUGUGGUUGACCACGUCGCUUCGUGGACUCGUUUCUGGGACUCUGACGGUUCAAAUUCUUGAGAGGGGUGUCCACAGCGGCCACGCCAGUGGAAUUGUACCGUCCUCUUUUCGCAUAAUUCGACAGCUCCUCGACCGCAUCGAGGACCCUGAUACAGGAGUCCUGAAAAUACCAGAGCUGAACGUUGAAAUUCCGCCCGAUAGGGUGAAAGAAGCUGAGCGCUGCGCGCAGAGCUUAGGAAGUUCGAUCGCAGACGAAUUUCCUUUUAUUGCUGGCAGUGGGCCAGUCAGUACCAACUAUGCCGAGCUGCUGCUCAACCGCUGCUGGAGGCCAACACUGUCAAUAACAGGUGUCGACGGCCUGCCCAGCUUGAGCGAAUCGGGCAACGUUCUUCGUUCUCAUACCUCCCUUCAGCUUUCCGUUCGAGUGCCGCCUACAGCAGAUGCCUCGCUCGCCGCAGAGGCUCUAAAGCGCGUUCUCGAGGCAGACCCCCCCUAUGGCGCCCGUGUCAGCUUCGUUUACGAAAAGUCGGGGGCCGGAUGGAACGCAGCGACCCUGAGCCCUUGGGCCUCUCAGAGCUUCGACAACUCCUCUAUGGAGUACUUCGGUAAGCACUGCGACUACAUGGGCGAGGGCGGAAGCAUUCCCCUCAUCAAUUUAUUGGCAAACCACUUUCCACAAUCGCAGCUGUGCGUCACCGGCCUCCUGGGGCCCGACAGCAAUGCGCACGGACCAAACGAACGCCUCGACAUCGAAUACGCCAAAAAACUCACAUGUUGUAUAUCGCAAAUUAUUUAUGACCAUGCAAAUCCGCAAAUAGAAAAAAAGUAAAGAGUAUACAAUUCGGCACCAGUCCUUCCUUGCCCCUUACCCACUGUCCCUUGCCCUUACCUCCGCCCACCCCGAAACCAACCAUUACUGAGCUGCGGUGUACUAAAUGACGCUAAAAUUGUGGCACUAUUUACACGCAUUUCUAUUUAUACUCGGUAAUGCUUGUUGCCUACUUACGCUAUACAUCAUCAACAACAACCACUGGCUGGAAAUCAGCCUAGCCCUUAAGAUUUUAGGGACGGAGGGAGUUUAUCUCGUCUUUGUCGGUCUUAGACACUACGUUUUGUUCUACUCUUCUGUUGAAAAAAGAGUUUUCCACUUCCAUGAGUGCUUUGGGUGGGAACCAUGCAAAAUUUACUUUAGAAUGUCCAACGUGGUCUUCUACUGCCUGCUGUUUCAUUCUAUUUUCAUGAUGAUGUUCUAUGCCAUCUACUGCAUGUCUGUUCUUAUACAAAAUUUCAGAAAACGGCAGUCGCUGUUUGAACGGUGCACUGUCACCAUAUUCCUCGUCAUUAUGUCGAUACUCCUGUCGGCCUGUAUGCUAGUCUAUAGAUAUGGUUCCAUGGAAGCAUUACAAUACGACAUGAAGCCAGGAGCUUCCCUGUAUAUGGCGUACACCAUGAGUGGAGUGCAGUGGAUUUUGACGCUCGUCUACGUUCUCGCUGCAUUCCUCUCGUACAAAGACAACAUGGACGCGUAUGUGCCUGUCGGGCAACUGGAGCGCGGAGAAUAUGCGACCUGACGCGUGCAAAAGCGCAUAAUAUGCGCACCCUCUCCCUUUGGAUUCGUCUCCUUCAUCACAACGUCGAUUAAAAGUGAGCGGCUCACGAAGAUUAUAUCUGUAUUCGAGCGUAAGUAAAGCCAAUGUUUUUUUGUUUGUAGAGAGCGAAGCCUUGUUUGUUCGGGCGUUCUCCUCUUAGAGCAGAUAGAUGGUGCACACAUGUGCAUAUGAAGAGAAGCUCACGAUGGACGUCAAAAUACCCCUGAAGCCUUGGAGAACAGAGAGCGCCACAUGCAUACGACGUAUCGCAUGUGUGCGUUCGAACAAUACCCGUAUUGUUCGCGCAAGA